rfam:Triticum urartu cultivar G1812 contig885275, whole genome shotgun sequence.
GCUCAGAUGAUGCUAAAACAGCAACUUGUUCCCGAGAUUCUCUUUGAGGAUUACAAAAUCGAGCUUUUUACAGCUGAUGGGUA